GACCUCAAAUCAGGUAGGACUACCCGCUGAACUUAAGCAUAUCAAUAAGCGGAGGAAAAGAAACUAACAAGGAUUCCCCUAGUAACGGCGAGUGAAGCGGGAAGAGCUCAAAUUUAAAAUCUGGCAGUCUACGAUUGUCCGAGUUGUAAUCUAGAGAGGUGUUUUCCGUGCCGGACCAUGUACAAGUCCCUUGGAACAGGGCGUCAUAGAGGGUGAGAAUCCCGUCCAUGACAUGGACUCCCGGUGCUCUGUGAUACACCUUCAAAGAGUCGAGCUGUUUGGGAAUGCAGCUCAAAAUGGGUGGUAAAUUCCAUCUAAAGCUAAAUACAGGCGAGAGACCGAUAGCGAACAAGUACCGUGAAGGGAAAGAUGAAAAGAACUUUGGGAAAGAGAGUUUAAACAAUUACCGUGAAAUUGUUAAAAGGGGAAACGCUUUGGAAGUCAGUCNCGUUCUUCUGGAGACUCAAGCCUUGCU
rnacentral:rRNA from 1 species